GAUGAACGCUGGCGGCGUGCCUAAUACAUGCAAGUCGAGCGAACGGACGAGAAGCUUGCUUCUCUGAUGUUAGCGGCGGACGGGUGAGUAACACGUGGAUAACCUACCUAUAAGACUGGGAUAACUUCGGGAAACCGGAGCUAAUACCGGAUAAUAUUUUGAACCGCAUGGUUCAAAAGUGAAAGACGGUCUUGCUGUCACUUAUAGAUGGAUCCGCGCUGCAUUGGCUAGUUGUUAAGGUAACGGCUUACCAAGGCAACGAUGCAUAGCCGACCUGAGAGGGUGAUCGGCCACAUUGGAACUGAGACACGGUCAAGACUCCUACGGGAGGCAGCAGUAGGGAACCUUCCGCAAUGGGCGAAAGCAUGACGGAGCAACGCCGCGUGAGUGAUGAAGGUCUUCGGAUCGUAAAACUCUGUUAUUAGUGAAGAACAUAUGUGUAAGUAAAUGUGCACAUCUUGACGGUACCUAAUCAGAAAGCCACGGCUAACUACGUG
rnacentral:rRNA from 1 species